CCUACGGGUGGCAGCAGUGAGGAAUAUUGGUCAAUGGGCGGAAGCCUGAACCAGCCAAGUAGCGUGCAGGAUGACGGCCCUACGGGUUGUAAACUGCUUUUAUACGGGAAUAACGCGCCUUACGUGUAGGGCUUUGCAUGUACCGUAUGAAUAAGGACCGGCUAAUUCCGUGCCAGCAGCCGCGGUAAUCCGGAAGGUCCGGGCGUUAUCCGGAUUUAUUGGGUUUAAAGGGUGCGUAGGCCGCAUGGCAAGCGUGCUGUGAAAUGUCAGGGCUCAACCCGGGCCUUGAAGCGCGAACUGGCGGGCUUGAGUCCGCGGAAAGCAGGCGGAAUGUGUCGUGUAGCGGUGAAAUGCUUAGAUAUGACGAAGAACCCCGAUUGCGAAGGCAGCUUGCUGCAGCGGAACUGACGCUGAUGCUCGAAAGCGCGGGUAUCGAACAGGAGUAGAUACCCGAGUAGUC
rnacentral:rRNA from 1 species